rnacentral:rRNA from 1 species
CGUAGGGUGCGAGCGUUAAUCGGAAUUACUGGGCGUAAAGCGUGCGCAGGCGGUUUCGUAAGACAGAUGUGAAAUCCCCGGGCUCAACCUGGGACCUGCAUUUGUGACUGCAAGGCUAGAGUACGGUAGAGGGGGAUGGAAUUCCGCGUGUAGCAGUGAAAUGCGUAGAUAUGCGGAGGAACACCGAUGGCGAAGGCAAUCCCCUGGACCUGUACUGACGCUCAUGCACGAAAGCGUGGGGAGCAAACAGGAUUAGAUACCCUGGUAGUCCACGCCCUAAACGAUGUCAACUGGUUGUUGGGUCUUUACUGACUCAGUAACGAAGCUAACGCGUGAAGUUGACCGCCUGGGGAGUACGGCCGCAAGGUUG